rnacentral:rRNA from 1 species
UACGGAGGGGGCUAGCGUUGUUCGGAAUUACUGGGCGUAAAGCGCGCGUAGGCGGACCUGCAAGUCGGGGGUGAAAGCCCGAGGCUCAACCUCGGAACUGCCUUCGAUACUGCGGGUCUCGAGUCCGGGAGAGGUGAGUGGAAUUCCUAGUGUAGAGGUGAAAUGCGCAGAUAUCGGGAAGAACACCCGUGGCGAAGGCGGCUCUCUGGGACGGUACUGACGCUGAGACGCGAAAGCGUGGGGAGCGAACAGG